rnacentral:rRNA from 1 species
GACGAACGCUGGCGGCGUGCUUAACACAUGCAAGUCGAACGGAAAGGCCCUGCUUUUGUGGGGUGCUCGAGUGGCGAACGGGUGAGUAACACGUGAGUAACCUGCCCUUGACUUUGGGAUAACUUCAGGAAACUGGGGCUAAUACCGGAUAGGAGCUCCUGCUGCAUGGUGGGGGUUGGAAAGUUUCGGCGGUUGGGGAUGGACUCGCGGCUUAUGAGCUUGUUGGUGGGGUAGUGGCUUACCAAGGCUUUGACGGGUAGCCGGCCUGAGAGGGUGACCGGCCACAUGGGGACUGAGAUACGGCCCAGACGCGUACGGGAGGCAGCAGUGGGGAAUAUGGCACAAUGGGCGGAAGCCGGAGGCAGCAACGCCGCAUGCGGGAUGACGGCCUUCGGGUUGUAAACCGCUUUCGCCUGUGACGAAGCGGGAGUGACGGUAAUGGGUAAAGAAGCACCGGCUAACUACGUG